CAAAUAUACUUAAGGCAUCUAGGAAAAUGUUUAUUGCCGCAGUCUGGCUGGGCACAAAUGCCACAGUCUGGCUGGGCACACAAUCACGAGCCACCACACAGCUUGUAGAUUCAAACAGCAACUCUUUAUUCCCGAACUCACACCAGCCGUCUACAAUCACGUUCUGAGGAAAUCCACGUUCUCUGCCCAAAUCCACCUCCACUGGGCUUCUAUCUCCAAAAUAUACUGUCUAAAUCCCGUGAGAACUCAAGGGGAACUCAGGCAGCAGGAUACACCCUAUUCCCAGCAGGAAUAAUCUUAAACCUUAAACCUGGAACCUAAACUGGGAACGCCCUAAACAAGAUUAUCUUAAAACCGGGAACACCCU
rnacentral:lncRNA from 1 species